rnacentral:rRNA from 1 species
UACGUAGGGGCUAGCGUUAUCCGGAAUUACUGGGCGUAAAGGGUGCGUAGGUGGUUUCUUAAGUCAGAGGUGAAAGGCUACGGCUCAACCGUAGUAAGCCUUUGAAACUGGGAAACUUGAGUGCAGGAGAGGAGAGUGGAAUUCCUAGUGUAGCGGUGAAAUGCGUAGAUAUUGGGAAGAACACCGGUGGCGAAGGCGACUUGCUGGGCAGCAACUGACGCUGAGGCGCGAAAGCCAGGGGAGCAAACGGGAUUAGAUACCCGCGUAGUCCCUGAGCGGG